rnacentral:rRNA from 1 species
UACGUAGGUGGCAAGCGUUGUCCGGAUUUACUGGGCGUAAAGGGCGUGCAGGCGGUCUGUUAAGUGCAGGGUGAAAGCUCCCGGCUCAACUGGGAGAGGUCCUUGCAUACUGGCGGACUUGAGGGGGGUAGAGGAAAGUGGAAUUCCCGGUGUAGUGGUGAAAUGCGCAGAUAUCAGGAGGAACACCGACGGCGAAGGCAGCACUCUGGGCCGGUACUGACGCUGAGGAGCGAAAGCAUGGGGAGCGAACAGG